rnacentral:rRNA from 1 species
GAUGAACGCUGGCGGCGUGCCUAAUACAUGCAAGUCGAGCGAACAGACGAGGAGCUUGCUUCUCUGACGUUAGCGGCGGACGGGUGAGUAACACGUGGAUAACCUACCUAUAAGACUGGGAUAACUUCGGGAAACCGGAGCUAAUACCGGAUAAUAUAUUGAACCGCAUGGUUCAAUAGUGAAAGACGGUUUUGCUGUCACUUAUAGAUGGAUCCGCGCCGCAUUAGCUAGUUGGUAAGGUAACGGCUUACCAAGGCAACGAUGCGUAGCCGACCUGAGAGGGUGAUCGGCCACACGGGAACUGAGACACGGUCCAGACUCCUACGGGAGGCAGCAGUAGGGAAUCUUCCGCGAUGGGCGAAAGCCUGACGGAGCAACGCCGCGUGAGUGAUGAAGGUCUUCGGAUCGUAAAACUCUGUUAUUAGGGAAGAACAAAUGUGUAAGUAACUAUGCACGUCUUGACGGUACCUAAUCAGAAAGCCACGGCUAACUACGUG